rnacentral:rRNA from 1 species
AAGGCNUNCCNAGGCGACGAUCAGUAGCUGGUNUGAGAGGACGACNAGCCACACUGGGANUGAGACACGGCCCAGANUCCUANNNNNGGCAGCAGUGGGGAAUUUUGGACAANGGGCGAAAGCCUGAUCCAGCANUGCCGCGUGUGUGAAGAAGGCNUUCGGGUUGUAAAGCACUUUUGUCCGGAAAGAAAACUUCUGCCCUAAUACGGCGGGAGGAUGACGGUACCGGAAGAAUAAGCACCGGCUAACUACGUGCCAGCAGCCGCGGUAAUACGUAGGGUGCGAGCGUUAAUCGGAAUUACUGGGCGUAAAGCGUGCGCAGGCGGUUUGUUAAGACCGAUGUGAAAUCCCCGGGCUCAACCUGGGAACUGCAUUGGUGACUGGCAAGCUAGAGUAUGGCAGAGGGGGGUAGAAUUCCACGUGUAGCAGUGAAAUGCGUAGAGAUGUGGAGGAAUACCGAUGGCGAAGGCAGCCCCCUGGGCCAAUACUGACGCUCAUGCACGAAAGCGUGGGGAGCAAACAGGAUUAGAUACCCUGGUAGUCCACGCCCUAAACGAUGUCAACUAGUUGUUGGGGAUUCAUUUCCUUAGUAACGUAGCUAACGCGUGAAGUUGACCGCCUGGGGAGUACGGUCGCAAGAUUAAAACUCAAAGGAAUUGACGGGGACCCGCACAAGCGGUGGAUGAUGUGGAUUAAUUCGAUGCAACGCGAAAAACCUUACCUACCCUUGACAUGGUCGGAAUCCUGCCGAGAGGCGGGAGUGCUCGAAAGAGAACCGAUACACAGGUGCUNCA